AUCAUUUAUGCUAACUUGGUAUUGGUAGUUCCUCACCAUAGGUAAUACACCUAUUACUUGUUUAGUGUAGACUGACUAUUCUUUUUUCUGAACUUUUUUGUGAUUAUGUCUUCACAUUGCACUGCUCCCAGAUCCAUAUCAACGUGCCCACACUGUCGGAUGAGCAUAAAGAUGUUAUGAAAAAAUGCGGUGCUCCAAACAAGAUUGACUUCCUCUCUCUUUCUUAUACAAGGCAUGCAGAAGAUGUGUGGCAAGUAGUGAUGACAUUCUCCUUGGUGCUGAGACUUGCCGUGGGUUGUAUCCAGUUGAGACUAUUUCAACAGUAGGCAGAAUUUGUGCUGAGGCUGAGAAGGUCUUCAACCAGGAUUUGUACUUCAAGCGAACCAUGAAAUACGUGGGAGAACCCAUGACCCACUUGGAGUCUAUUGCUUCGUCUACAGUGCGUAUUUUGUUUCUUCUCAUUUUCCAACCUUUUGGUAGUGU